rnacentral:tRNA from 1 species
GCCCCGCUGGCGGAAUGGUAGACGCAUCGGAUUCAAAAUCCGACGGCUUAACGGUCGUCCCGGUUCGAGUCCGGGGCGGGGCA